GGACAAAAGAAAGAGUUACUGUGAAAACCACAACAUCAUUCUGUCAGUGCUGCAUUAAUUUCCCUAGUUUCUUUACUUAUUUACUAUUAUUUACAUUGAAAUCUAUUUGAAAUAGUGCAAUUGAACUCAUUUCACCUAAGUGUCACCUUAAGCCUACAAAGUGCAUUACCAUAACCCUAAAUCUAUUCACAUUGAGAACCUACAUGCAAAGGCAAGCAGAUCGAAGCUCGCAUGACCAUUGAAACAUUGUUCAGCAGCAAGUAUCGCACAACGGGACUAAACGUAAGUCACAAAUGACAAACAUAUAUUUCUAAAAACACUAAAUCGACAUUCAUUA